UACGAAGGAUCCAAGCGUUAUCCGGAAUCAUUGGGUUUAAAGGGUCCGUAGGCGGUUUAAUAAGUCAGUGGUGAAAGCCCAUCGCUCAACGGUGGAACGGCCAUUGAUACUGUUAAACUUGAAUUAUUAGGAAGUAACUAGAAUAUGUAGUGUAGCGGUGAAAUGCUUAGAGAUUACAUGGAAUACCAAUUGCGAAGGCAGGUUACUACUAAUGGAUUGACGCUGAUGGACGAAAGCGUGGGUAGCGAACAGG
rnacentral:rRNA from 1 species